rnacentral:misc_RNA from 1 species
AAGUCGUAACAAGGUUUCCGUAGGUGAACCUGCGGAAGGAUCAUUAACACGUAUCUAACGUUAACCAACCUGUGAACUUGUAUUUGUGCCUGAGUGCGUUGCCAGAGUGUUCGCAAGAAUGCUAGGGUAGCGUUACUCCUUAUAUCACCAAUUUUAACCCAUGUAACUUACGAUCUGAAACUUAUCUUUUGCUAUUUGGACUGGGUAAAACCGGACUGAAUGGGCGGAAGCUAUUUUACGAAACUUAAAACAACUCUUAGCAACGGAUAUCUUGGUUCUC